AUUGAACGCUGGCGGCAUGCCUUACACAUGCAAGUCGAACGGCAGCACGGGUGCUUGCACCUGGUGGCGAGUGGCGAACGGGUGAGUAAUACAUCGGAACGUACCUUAUCGUGGGGGAUAACGCAGCGAAAGCUGUGCUAAUACCGCAUACGCCCUGAGGGGGAAAGCGGGGGAUCGCAAGACCUCGCGCGAUUAGAGCGGGCGAUGCCUGAUUAGCUUGUUGGUGGGGUAAGAGCCCACCAAGGCGACGAUCAGUAGCUGGUCUGAGAGGACGAUCAGCCACACUGGGACUGAGACACGGCCCAGACUCCUACGGGAGGCAGCAGUGGGGAAUUUUGGACAAUGGGGGCAACCCUGAUCCAGCAAUGCCGCGUGAGUGAAGAAGGCCUUCGGGUUGUAAAGCUCUUUUGUCAGGGAAGAAACACCGGCUCUAACACAGUCCGGGAAUGACGGUACCUGAAGAAUAAGCACCGGCUAACUACGUGCCAGCAGCCGCCGUAA
rnacentral:rRNA from 1 species